AGUUUGAUCCUGGCUCAGAACGAACGCUGGCGGCAUGCCUAACACAUGCAAGUCGCACGGGCAGCAAUGUCAGUGGCGGACGGGUGAGUAACGCGUAGGAACAUGUCCAGUGGUGGGGAAUAACGUUGGGAAACUGACGCUAAUACCGCAUGAGCCCUGAGGGGGAAAGCAGCGAUGCGCCGAUGGAGUGGCCUGCGUAGGAUUAGCUUGUUGGUGGGGUAAUGGCCUACCAAGGCUACGAUCCUUAGCUGGUCUGAGAGGACGAUCAGCCACAUUGGGACUGAGACACGGCCCAAACUCCUACGGGAGGCAGCAGUGGGGAAUAUUGGACAAUGGGGGCAACCCUGAUCCAGCAAUGCCGCGUGUGUGAAGAAGGUCUUCGGAUUGUAAAGCACUUUCGACGGGGACGAUGAUGACGGUACCCGUAGAAGAAGCCCCGGCUAACUUCGUG
rnacentral:rRNA from 1 species